UUAAAGAAAAGAAACUGGAGAAUUACAAAGGAGGAGAGAUGUUUGAGACCGUAUUUGCUGGCCGCUAUAUAAUUCUGUUGAUGGGACUGUUUUCAAUCUAUACUGGCCUUAUAUACAAUGACUGCUUUUCAAAGUCAUUCAACAUCUUUGGCACUGCAUGGGAUCUUAGUGUAGAUUGGGAUGGCAUCAG